ACUCGAAGGUCACGGAGAUCAUUACGUAAAACUGUCAAUGCGGUGGUGUAGAGGUUGGGUGAGAACGGGACGUGUUGCUUCAUUAUCAAAAAGGUCCAAUAGCCGCAAGUCUUGAGAGGUGAGGGUUAGAAAAAGUUGUAUAAAAAGAGAGAGAAAAGGUGAAAGAUUUCAGUCCAGUGAGCAUCUCCGACAGGGCAACAUCAACUGUAGGCGCACUGUUUUUCACCAACUGCAUUCUUCGUCAUACAACCAGUUUUCAAUCUUUGUUAAUCAUGGCGUCGUGCUGCUGUUACUACGUUUACUAGUCGUCACUCGUCACCAACUGCAUUCUUCUUUGUAUUACCAUCAGUUUACAAUCAUGGGAAACUAUGGCGACGUCGCCGUCGUGCUCCUGUAGUUUGUUGUAUCGUUCAUGGCAGGGUUCAACCCAGUCGUUGAUCACUGGUGUACCGCUGUCUCCUCUGUAAGGCAGAUACCAAAGCACAACGCUUCCGUCUUACUACACGACAACAUACGCAACGACCAGUUACUACACCGAAGGCCUCUGAGUACUACAACACCAAGGCUCCAGUUUAUUACACCAAAACUUUGGCUGUCCCGACCUACUACAUCGAAGCCCCGAAGUAUUAUUCUUCCCCGAGCUACAAAACCAAAGCGUCAAGUACUACACCGAGGCCCGCAAGUACAACUCUGCUCCAGCUUAUUACACCACAUGAAUGGUCGAAUACUACACAGAAGCCACCAGUUUGCAAUUCUGGUGUGUAGUUGUAUAAAAGGAGAGAAAAUACGAAAGAAAUCAGUUGAGUGAGCAUCUCCGGCAUGGCAUUAGAUAUUGCAGUGCACUAUUUGUCACCAACUGCAAAAUGGCGUAUUACCAGUUGGCAACCACGGUAAACUGUGGCGUCAUGCUGCUGUUGGGUGAUGUAUCGUUGAUGGCUGGAUAGACCACUGCUGUACCGAGUUCUUCUCGGUAUGGAAGUUACCAAAGCACAACGCUGCCGUCUAACUGCACGACAACAUACGCAACGGCCAGUUACUACACCGAGCCCCAUGAGUACUACAUCACCAAAGCUCCAGAAUAUUACACCACAUUUUAGGUUGCUCUGAUCUACUACACCAAAAUGCCGGAGUACUAUACCGAGGCUCCCCAUUACUACACCAACAAGACACCAGAGUACUUCACAUCUAGAUACCAUGGUCGCAUAAAAGGAGAGUAAAGGCAAAAGAAAUCAGCAUUUGAGUGAUCAUCGAGUGGCCCCUGAUCACUACACCACUAAGGCACCGGAGUACUACACAACUACGUAGCUGCUACUUACCGAUGCGGUGUUGUAUCGUUGAUGGCGGUUACCAAAGCACAACGCUACCGUCUUACUACACAACAACAUACGCAAUGGCCAGUUACUACACCGAGGCACCUGAGUACUACACCAUCAAGCCGCCAGAUAAUUACACCAAAACUUCGGCUGACCUGAGCUACUACACCGGAGCCCCAAAGUAUUAUUCUCCCCCGAGCUAGAAUACCAAAGCAUUGAGUACUACACCGAGGCACCCGAGUACUUCACCACCAAGGAACUGGAGUGUUUUGUAACUACAUAUGCUGCGCCAGCUUCUUACAACGAGGCUCGCAAGUACAACUCUGCUCCAGCUACUUCACCGAGGCUCCAGCUUAUUACACCACAUAAACGGUCGAAUACUACACAGAAGCUACCAAUUUGCAAUCAUGGCAAACUAUGGUGUCGUGCUGCUGUUGGGUGUUGUAUCGUUGAUGGCUGAAUCGAUCACUGUUGUCUGAUGUCUCCUGAGUAUGGCGGGUAUCAAACCGGAACGCUGUCGCCUAACUACACAACAACAUUCGCAACGACCAGUUACUACACCGAUGCCCGUGAGUACUACACCACCAGGGCUCCAGAUUAUUACACCAAAACUUCGGCUGUCCCGACCUACUCCACUGAAGCCCGAAGUAUUAUUCUUCCACGAGCUACACCACCAAGGCACCGAAGUAAUACUGUGUAUGCUGCUCCAACCUACUGCACCGAGGCUCCUGGCUCCCAAGUACUACACAACCAAUGCAUUGGAGUAUUACACAACUACGUAUAAUGCGCCAGCUUACUACACCGAGGUUCCAGCUUAUUGUACUACAAAAACGGUCGAUUACUACAGAGAAGGGCGAAAAUACUACUCUGCCCCUUGCCACACAACCACAACUGAGGUGGCCAAGUAUUACGUAACCCUAACUUUCUUCACAACCACUGCCUUCGUAUUACGUUGGACCGAAAUACUACACUGAAGCUCCAGCUUACUACACCACAACCUACGCUACACUCAACUACCACCCCGAAGCUCCAAAGUAUUACUCUGCCCCAAGUUACUACACCACUAAGGAAUUUGACUAUUAAACCACGACCUACUCUUCUCCAGAUUACUACAUGGAGGCUUCUAAAUGCUAGAGCCGAAAUUGUUUCAUACAUUUGUGUUACUUGUCACUGCAAAUUGUUGAUCUUGAAUGAGAAAAUAAAUUUGAAUGCGGGUAAUCAUUUUGUAACUUCAAGCCUUUUGACAUUGGGAAAUGUUCCUUUUUUUUAAAUUUUGCCUAUUUCACAUGUCAGAGUUGACUCUGUACUUUAGUCACUUUGCACAAGGACAUCCUGGUUUUUCUUACUCUUCUAUUGAAAAGGAAAUCCUGAGACAUCACUUGUAUAAUACUGGAGUAUAUGUCUAUGACUGAAAUUCUGAACAUUACUUGGUUCAUUGUGUCUUAGUUAAUAUAUAAACACAUGAAA